AAAAGAAAGGAAAAAAGAGAAAAAAGAAAAGAAAAAGGGUCUGUCUGUGGCGCUGAUUGUAUUGAAUUCUCUUUCUCUUUCUCUUUUUCUUUCUUUUUCUUUCUUUUUCUUGGAAACCAUGGAUCAGGAAGACGUUUAUACUCAUGUCAAAGAGGCGAUUAGACAAAAAGGGGAUCUUUCAAUUC
rnacentral:ribozyme from 13 species